ensembl:lncRNA
ACAGCAAACAAUGUUAUUUUAAAAAAAUUCUCCGUGUUUUUGAUCUGGUUUUACAUAGCAUCCUGUUUUAAUUUUUAUAGCACAAUAUAAGCAUUUGUCGAUAUUUAACCCGUGAAAUAUAGCAAUUCUCACAUUACGGGGUUAAAACCCCCAGAAAUGUGCCUGGGGAUGGCCGGGAGGUGCCUCUGUCCCCGGGGCUGACACCAGCAGGGCUGUGGUCCAUGGCAGGGCUCCUCUUCAGCUGAUGCAAACCUUGUCUGAAGAAUCGGAGCUCACACGGCUUUAUUUUAUUUUUAACACCGUGACAACCGCACAGCCAGGCUGCUUUAACCUCCUGGCUUUGGGAAUUUAAAUAAACUCAGCGAGGAUGUAAUGAAGACAUGAGACCCUCCCAGGAGUUCUCAAUUCCCAGUUCCCAUUCUCCUCCCCAUUCCCAGUUUUCCAAUCCCAAUUUCUCAUCACAUUUCCUUUUCCCAAUUUUCCAUUCCCAGAUUAGCAUUCCCAGUUUCCCAUUCCCAUUUUUCCAUUCCCAAUUUCUCAUCCUAUUUCCUUUUCCCAAUUUUCCAUUUCCAGUUUCCCAUUCCCAUUUUUCCAUUCCCAGUUUCCCAUUGCCAGGUUCCCAUCCCCAGUUUUCCAUUCCCAAUUUCCCAUCCCCAGUUCCCAUUCCUCUUCCCAGUUUCCCAUUCCCAGUUUCCCAUUCCCAGUUCUUGUCCGCAGGUCAGCGGAGAGCAGGGAUAACUCUGGGUCUUAGUGCACGUCCUGAGACAGAAGGAACACGGAUCUUCCUUUUCCUGCCUCAUCCCAAAUCCCAUUUCCCGAGCCCUCCCUGCCCCCCGGCAGCCCAGGAGCAGAGAGCAGCGCCCCAUCCCCGCUUCACACUUAAUUAAUGUUCUCUGAACGACCUUGAGAGAGCCACACCGGAGUAUUGGCUCGUCUAAAUGUGGGAAGAAAAGAGCUCUAAUGAAAGAAUGAUAAAAAUACAGGAUUAAACAGUGUUUGGAGAUCCUUCCAGCUCUUAAAUUGGUAAAAGUUGCUUUAAGUCUUUUUAUGAGUAGCAGGGGGAAAAAAAAAAAAGCGACGUUUCUUUUUUGGUUUUGAUCAGGUUUUACAUAAAGUUGUGUUCCAGAUUUUAUAGCAAAACAUAAGCAUUUGUCUAUAUUUAGCUUUUAAAACAGCAUAAUUAACGUAUUAUUUUGCUGAACCCCUCAGAAAUGUGCCUGAACACAUUGCUGUAGUUCUUCACUGUGUUACCUAUUCAGAAACACAUUGCAGUUUACUGUGUAUGUUUUCUUUAAAAACAAAAUUUGAAUUAUGUAAGUCGAAAAUACAACAGAAAUAAGAUCCCGAGGCCUAUUUUUAUUUCAUAGGCUGAACAAAACCAAACCCAAAUCAUACCUGGAAGGUGAUGCUUGCAUAUACACAAAGUGUAAUUUGCAGCAGUGUGGAAUUUGUUUAAAUAAUUUUCCUUUCUGAUGCAUUGAACAUGAAUGGUCUGACAGUAGGACACCUUUUCCUGUUGGAAACACUGGAUUUUUCAAGUGAAUGCUUCCUAAGGAAAUCUUUAAUUUACCAAUAUGAAGCAUUGGAGGUUAUUUCCACAUCUAGUUUUUCACCAGAUUUAAUGGGGGUGUCUGCAAGCCUAUGGAAAAUUGCCAGGAUUUUUUUUGAUACCAAGAGGGAUCAAUAAAAAAAUAGGAUCAGCAUAGAAAAGGUGCA